AUUGAACGCUGGCGGCAGGCCUAACACAUGCAAGUCGAACGAGUGGCGGACGGGUGAGUAAUGUCUGGGAAACUGCCUGAUGGAGGGGGAUAACUACUGGAAACGGUAGCUAAUACCGCAUACCAGCGGAUAGGCCCGGGUGGGUUUGGCUAGUGGGUGGGGUAACGGCUCACCUCGGCGACGAUCCCUAGCUGGGCUGAGAGGAUGACCAGCAACACUGGAAUGGAGACACGGUCCAGACUCCUACGGGAGGCAGCAGUGGGGAAUAUUGCACAAGGGGCGCAAGCCUGAUGCAGCCAUGCCGCGUGUAUGAAGAAGGCCUUCGGGUUGUAAAGUACUUUCAGCGGGGAGGCGUUACCCGCAGAAGAAGCACCGGCUAACUCCGUGCCAGCCGCCGCGGUAAUUC
rnacentral:rRNA from 1 species